CCUCUCUCUUUCUUUCUUUUUAUUUUUUUUAAAGCCCUAAGGCCUCUUUGUUUGUGUAUUAGGUGCACGCCAUCUUCUCGCCAGCACAUGAACCUGCAUGCCCACGUCCAGUCUGAGUUCGCACGCCAGGACCUGCUCCCGCCUGCGCUUGAAAUCACACCUAGUUGUGACGUACCCGCAUGACCACAUGCAGUCGUGCCCACUCC
rnacentral:lncRNA from 1 species